UCAUUAUUAGUAUAAUUGAAUUAUUUUUCUCUUCCAAAGAAAAGAUCUAUGUUUAAUAGAUGAUGAA
rnacentral:tRNA from 1 species